GCCGGGGUAGCUCAGUCGGUAGAGCAUCUGAUUCGUCAUCAGGGGGUCAGGUGGUUCAACUUCUCUCUCCGGCA
rnacentral:tRNA from 1 species